rnacentral:rRNA from 1 species
CAGUCACCGCGGUAAUACGAAGGGUGCAAGCGUUACUCGGAAUUACUGGGCGUAAAGCGUGCGUAGGUGGUGGUUUAAGUCCGUUGUGAAAGCCCUGGGCUUAACCUGGGAAUUGCAGUGGAUACUGGGUCACUAGAGUGUGGUAGAGGAUAGUGGAAUUUCCGGUGUAGCAGUGAAAUGCGUAGAGAUCGGAAGGAACAUCUGUGGCGAAGGCGACUAUCUGGGCCAACACUGACACUGAGGCACGAAAGCGUGGGGAGCAAACAGGAUUAGAUACCCCUGUAGUCCCUGUCUCUUAUAC